GGGCACUUGGUCUAGGGGUAUGAUACUCGCGUAAGUGCUACAGAUUAUAUUCAGAUGUUGUUCAACCUACUAACAUUGUGAUAGUUCGCAUACUUAAAAACAUGCAGAAUUGUGAGUGGUCGUGGGUUCAAUUCCCACAGUGUCCA